AUUGAACGCUGGCGGCAGGCCUAACACAUGCAAGUCGAACGAGUGGCGGACGGGUGAGUAAUGUCUGGGAAACUGCCCGAGGGAGGGGGAUCACUACUGGAAACGGUAGAUAAUACACCAUACCAUCGGAGGUGCCCAGAUGGGAUUAGCUUGUAGGUGAGGGAACGGCUCACCUAGGCGACGAGCCCUAGCUGGGCUGAGAGGAUGACCAGCCAUCCUGGAACUGAGACACGGUCCAGACUCCUACGGGAGGCAGCAGUGGGGAAUAUUGCACAAUGGGCGCAAGCCUGAUGCAGCCAUGCCGCGUGUAUGAAGAAGGCCUUCGGGUUGUAAAGUACUUUCAGCGGGGAGGCGUUACCCGCAGAAGAAGCACCGGCUAACUCCGUGCCAGCAGCCGCGGUAAUAC
rnacentral:rRNA from 1 species